AUGCAUCCCUUCUACAUACUAUUAGUACUUGGGCUUCUCCUCUUGCCCACAUCUUGCUGCUCCUCAUCUGCACCCGCAAAUGAUACUCUCGUGGCGGGCCGAGUGUUCACCGUCGGCGAUAAGCUCGUCUCAAGAAACGGCAAGUUCGCGCUCGGCUUCUUCCAGCCAGCAGCAAGCACCAUCAGUAAGUCGUCCAAUAACAGUUGGUACCUUGGCAUAUGGUUCAAUAAGAUCCCAGUUUUCACUACUGUGUGGGUUGCUAAUAGGGAGGAGCCCAUCACCCACCCCAACAUUAACUCAACACAGCUCAAGAUCACAAGAGACGGCAAUCUUGUCAUUGUCGUAAAACAUGCUAAUGCUGGCACUGAAUCCCUUGUUUGGUCCACUCACAUGAUCAAUAGGACACAAACUAGCAACAUAAACACCACCACCACUAGUGCCGCCGUUCUCUUGAACACUGGAAACCUUGCUGUCAAAGUCACAGAUACCCCAUCAUCUGACCUACCGUUGUGGCAGAGCUUCGACUACCCAGCAGAUGUUGUGCUUCCUGGCGCCAAGCUUGGCUGGAACAAGGUUACAGGUUUGAAUCGCCAUAUCAUCUCAAAGAAGAGCCUUAUUGAUCUGGGUCUUGGCUCAUACAGCCUUGGACUAGACACAACCGGCCUCGCCAUCCUCGAGCGUCGCAAAAACCCUGCUGUAGUGUUUUGGCAUUGGGCAUCCUCCAAAACGUUGUCAAUGAGUAUUAUACCAGUGCUCAAGACGAUUCUAGAUAUGGAUCCACGGACUAGAGGCUUGAUUAACCCAAUAUAUGUUGACAAUGACCAAGAGGAGUACUACAUGUACACUUCGCCGGAUGAAUCACCAUCUUCCACGUUUGUCUCACUAGAUAUCUCUGGUCUGAUAAAGGUGAAUGUGUGGUCACAGUCCAACCAGUCUUGGCAAACUGUAUUUACCGAGCCUACUCACCCCUGCCUUCCGCCUGCUACUUGCGGACCUUUCACAGUCUGCAGUGGCAAUCCACAUCCAUCCUGUGACUGCAUGCAGAACUUCUCUCGGAAGUCACCGCAGGAUUGGGAGUUUGAGGAUCGAACAGGAGGAUGCAUCAGAAAUACACCGUUACAAUGUACUAGUGACAAAAACAUCACAAGUUCAACGGACAUGUUCCAGCCCAUUUCUCAAGUUACAUUGCCCUACAACCCACAAAGCAUAGUUGCUGCCACUCAGAGCCAAUGUGAAGAAGUUUGUCUCAGAACCUGCUCCUGCACAGCUUAUUCCUAUAACGCUAGCAGAUGCUCUGUAUGGAAUGGGGACUUGCUUAGUGUGAGUCUGGAUGAUGGCGUUGUUUACACUUCUAAAGAUAUUCUUUAUCUACGUCUUGCUGCCAAAGAUUUCUUGCCAAGUUUGAGAAAAACCAAAAGAAAACCAAAUGUUGGAAUUGUUGCUGCCGCAAGCAUUACUGGUAUUGGGUUACUCGUUUUCAUGUUGUUGUUACUGAUUUGGAGGAUCAAAUUCAAGUCAUGUGGUUUCCUGCCGAUAUACUACGGCAAUCAAGAUAGUGCUGGUGGAAUUAUAGCCUUUAGAUACACUGAUCUAGUUCGUGCUACUAAAAACUUCUCGGAAAAGCUGGGAGGAGGGGGUUUUGGUUCAGUAUAUAAGGGAGUGUUAAGUGACCCAAAGACUACUAUAGCAGUCAAAAGGCUUGAUGGUGCCCAUCAAGGAGAGAAGCAGUUCAGGGCUGAGGUGAGCUCAGUUGGACUGAUCCAACAUAUCAACCUAGUCAAAUUGAUUGGUUUCUGCUGCGAAGGUGAUCACAGGUUACUUGUGUAUGAACACAUAUUAAAUGGGUCUCUUGAUGGUCAUCUAUUUAAGAAGAUAAAUGAUGUCGCUCAUGUCCUAAACUGGAACACUAGAUAUCAAAUAGCCCUAGGAGUUGCCAAAGGAUUGUCCUACUUGCAUCAGAGUUGUCACAAAUGCAUCAUACACUGUGACAUUAAACCGGGAAACAUACUAUUGGACGCAUCAUUUGCUCCCAAAGUUGCGGACUUUGGGUUGGCGGCAUUUGUGGGAAGGGAUUUUAGCCGAGUUUUGACCACGAUCAGGGGAACUGCAGGUUAUCUUGCCCCAGAGUGGCUUUGCGGAGUUGCAAUCACACCAAAGAUCGACGUUUACAGCUUCGGCAUGGUACUGUUGGAAAUCAUAUCAGGAAGGAGGAAUUCCUCACUUGAAACAUCAUACUACACUAGCAGUAGCAGCAGUUACCACAAUGCCGAAUAUUUCCCUGUGCAAGCCAUCAGCAAGCUUCACGGUGGAGAUGUAAAGAGUUUGGUGGAUCCACAAUUACAUGGCGACUUCAAUUUGGAAGAGGCUGAAAGAGUUUGCAAAGUUGCGUGCUGGUGCAUCCAAGAUAAUGAGUUUGAUAGGCCGACUAUGGGUGAAGUGGUCCGGGUUCUCGAGGGUCUGCAGAAGAUUGAUAUGCCCCCCAUGCUAAGGCUACUUGCAGCUCUAACAGAGCACUGA
rnacentral:rRNA from 1 species